rnacentral:lncRNA from 1 species
GUUGUUGCUAGGGUAUGAGGUUUUGACAAUGGUUUGAACGAGGGUGAACUCAGCAGGGGAUAGAGAGUCUAGUGGGCGCUUCUUAGAAAUUGAGAUUGGUAAGAUAGAAACGACGAAGCAGAAGAAGAAAAGCAAUAAUCUUAAUUUUGAAUCCAUUGUGAUCUUUCUGAGAGGAAUGCUGGAGCAGCUAAGCUCGCGCGCUCCUUUAAAUAAGCAUUUUGGUCUAUGGCCAGCUUGUGAUAAUUUUCUUUCUCAAGCAUAUGCUUAAUUGUUUACGUUGGAAAUGAAAUAUAAUUUACUCACAAAUAUUUUAUUGGUGAUCAAAAAUGUCAAUAGUAAUUAUAAGACGCAAAUUUAUUCACUCUACGAUGUGUAUCCAUCUUUUUUUUUCUAUUUUGAAGAACUAACUAAUCCGACGAAAAUAAAUAUUGUCAUUUUUCACGUCAUAUAUUUAUACACAACAUAACGAAAUUUAUAUCUAGUAAGAAAAAAGUUUAUUGAGUUCAGAUAUUAUGAGAGUUCAAGUCGAUGUGCCCAAAACAAUCGUCUCAUCAAUUUGAGUCCAUAACCCUUUCACUUUCUACGUCUCGUCAUUUAUAGAACUCUAUUUCACUUUCAAACGUACCCCAGACGGUGAAAUAUAUGGUAGACAAUGUAAGCUUAUUUCCGAAUAAUACAAAACAUGUUUUAAAAAUUAAAUGCGGAAGUUUGAGAAUCGAACCUCUAGCCAUUGAUGUAUUCUUUACAACUCUUUGAUUUCCGAUUU